UAACAGCACCAGGCAGGCAGACGUAGAAACACUCAGACUGGCAGUAGAGUGCCAUCUUUGCUUUGUUCUUCAGACUUGUAAGCAUCCCCAAGCGGGCAAAUCAGGAAGAAAUAAUGACAGAAACUGGUAGAUGGGGACCGCGUUCUUCCCCUCUCUCGGGAGAUGAUGGAGGAGGAAAGAUGCUGCAUUGUGUGCCCCUCUGGUGCAGCUCACACCGGUGGCAGAGGUUGUGCAGCUGUGGAAUUUGGAGCCCGUGCGUAAGUGGGGAUUCCAGGGAGUUCAGGUAUCAGCAUGCAAGCUGGCUCCUAGGGCUCAGCCCGCCUUUUGCCCUCAGGUGCUUUGUGAAGUUCCAUAUUGCUCUGGAUUUCAGAGACAGAUGCUGCUUCAUGUACCCAGGAUCUCUUUCAAAUUCAGCUAAUUCAGGUCAAGCACAGUGCAUGGAGAGCUGGAGAACAAGCUGA
rnacentral:lncRNA from 1 species